AACGAACGCUGGCGGCAUGCCUAACACAUGCAAGUCGAACGAUUGCCUUCGGGUGAUAGUGGCGCACGGGUGCGUAACGCGUGGGAAUCUGCCCUUAGGUUCGGAAUAACAGCUGGAAACGGCUGCUAAUACCGGAUGAUAUCGCGAGAUCAAAGAUUUAUCGCCUGAGGAUGAGCCCGCGUUGGAUUAGGUAGUUGGUGGGGUAAAGGCCUACCAAGCCGACGAUCCAUAGCUGGUCUGAGAGGAUGAUCAGCCACACAGGGACUGAGACACGGCCCAGACUCCUACGGGAGGCAGCAGUGGGGAAUAUUGGACAAUGGGCGCAAGCCUGAUCCAGCAAUGCCGUGUGAGUGAUGAAGGCCCUAGGGUUGUAAAGCUCUUUUACCCGGGAAGAUAAUGACUGUACCGGGAGAAUAAGCCCCGGCUAACUCCGUG
rnacentral:rRNA from 1 species